CAGUAUGGAGGAGUUAUGUAUGACUUUCGAAGAUGCUUCAGUUUGAAAUCUUUCGGACAGUACUCGCAGUGCCGUAGCUGGUGCAUGACCAAGUGAUUGAAGACAGUUCAACAAUGAUGGGCAGAGUGGAACUGAAAAAAAGCAGAUGAGGAGACGGACCUUUUCAGUUUCGCAGCGAGGUCUAGUAACUUCGUAAUCGGGCAAGGUGAUGGAUGUUGCUGCUUGUUGAGUUUUUCAUCUCCUGUCAAGUUUGCGCCUGAAAGAAGAGGUGAUGGAGGGACACACUGAGGGCCCAUGCACCUUCACAUUCAGUCGUACCUUUGGACUGUGUUAAAUAUUUCAAUAUUGGAACAGUUGAUUAAUAGUAAUUGUU